UGGGGAAUUUUGGACAAUGGGCGCAAGCCUGAUCCAGCCAUGCCGCGUGCGGGAAGAAGGCCUUCGGGUUGUAAACCGCUUUGUCAGGGAAGAAAUCUUCUGAGUUAAUACCUCGGGAGGAUGACGGUACCUGAAGAAUAAGCACCGGCUAACUACGUGCCAGCAGCCGCGGUAAUACGUAGGGUGCAAGCGUUAAUCGGAAUUACUGGGCGUAAAGCGUGCGCAGGCGGUUUUGUAAGACAGAGGUGAAAUCCCCGGGCUCAACCUGGGAACUGCCUUUGUGACUGCAAGGCUUGAGCGCGGCAGAGGGGGAUGGAAUUCCGCGUGUAGCAGUGAAAUGCGUAGAUAUGCGGAGGAAACACCGAUGGCGAAGGCAAUCCCCUGGGCCUGCACUGACGCUCAUGCACGAAAGCGUGGGGAGCAAACAGGAUUAGAUACCCCUGGUAGUCCACGCCCUAAACGAUGUCAACUGGUUGUUGGGAAGGUUCCUUCUCAGUAACGUAGCUAACGCGUGAAGUUGACCGCCUGGGGAGUACGGCCGCAAGGUUGAAACUCAAAUGAAUUGAC
rnacentral:rRNA from 1 species